CAGCUUAAAGGAAGAAAAAUAUAUUUGGCCCUUGGAGUCAGAAAUUUCAGUUUAUGGUGCGCUGGUACCAUAGCUUUGGGCCUGAGGCAAAGCAGAAACAUCAUGAUAGAAAGGCCUCACUUCGUGGAGGCCAGGAAGCGGGGUAGGGGACAAAGAUAAGAUACACCCUUCAUGGGCAUGCCCCAGUAAGUCACUUCCUCGAACUAGACCCUGCUUUCUAAAUUUUUCACUAUCUCCCAAUAGUGCUAACAGCUGGGGACCAAAUCUUCAACAUGUCGCCUUCAGGUGAUAUUCCAGAUCCAUACUAUAACACAUAAUUAUCUGACUGAAGAUCAGAAGAUAUGUCACACUGGACCCACACUCCUGCAUGGAAGUACACUUGGCUGGAACUGAAUGGCAGCUAUCUAUCUUUCUUCAAUGCCAUAUACUCCAGGGUGGCAUACACCCCAGCAUAUCACUCAUCAUUUCCUUAUGACUUCCAUUGGGAGCUGCCACAUAGGAGUGAGCAAGGACCCUUAGCCUUGAGCGAUGAAGGCGUGAGACUGGUUUCCCCUGUGUGCGGAAGCAAGUGGAUCUCACCUCCACUUGGCAGGGGAAUGAAGCUCUGGGAGUGGGUGUCACCCAAUGAGACUGGGUUACACUCCCUUGAAACCCAAUCCCUUGCCUCAUUUGGGUGGAACUUUCUCGAGUAUCUUUCUCAAUAAAAAGGGUCUCUCUUUUUCCAAUGGACCCCUGAGGUCGAGAGCUAUCCCAGAUUUUGAAAAUGUAUUUCUGUGCGCUUACGUGCUUUCUUCACCAUUUUCUCAGUUAUUGAUGUAGUCAUAUUUUGUGAACCCAGCAUAGGUCGCCAGUCUGGCUAGUUGGCAAUAGACUUCCAAGGUGCUGAGUCUGUAACCCUGUAUGACUUUGAACUUCACCUUCUUCUUUCAUC
rnacentral:lncRNA from 1 species